rnacentral:lncRNA from 1 species
GCACUAGUAUAUACCCCUCACCCUUCACUGACCCUGGCUGCAUCUCCUGCUGAAACUCUCUCUUCCUCCUCUCUCAAAUCCUCUUCAUACAGGAAUGGGUAUGAAGUGAGUUCUCUUCCACUGAUCUUGGUCACGUACUCCAAGACUUUCUUCUUGCUGGUUUCAGCAUGGGCCCUUGGACCCCACAGGAACUCAUAGCAUGCAGGAUCACUUCUGGGCACCUGCCAGUACUCCAGUGCUCCUCUAGGGCCUCCUUGGGUUCCUGUCCUCCUGGUCAGCCGGUCCCCUGAGAAUCUGAAGAGAAGUGAGACAGCUCCUGAGGUUACAGCCAGCCAGCAGAGGCCAAGGCUCCAACACUGAUGGGCCUGAAUCCUGCCCCUUUGCUGGCCUGAGAAAAUCUCAGAUCAAGAGCUCAUAUCCCUGAUAUGGAACAGAAGGGCAUGAGGGGACCCACAUCUGGCCACACCUGCUCAAGGCUUCACAGCAAGGACAGUAAGAGGUGGCCAUAUUCAGAGCCUGGGUCCACUUCCCUCUGCCGAUCUCAAGCCGCCCCUCAGACCGAGACCCUCGCUUCUCUGACCCCUAGGCGUCGCAGCCGGCCACCAAGCCUGGGGCUUCCUCGGGUUGACUGCAGGUGUCGUACCGGAUUCUGCUAUGAGUGGGGGUGGAAAUGGGGGUGGGGGUCGUG